GUGGGACUCGCUGGGAUUUCUGAAUAUAAGCUCAUUGCCGGUGUGUGAGUGUGUGUGUGUGUGUGUGUGAGAGAGAGCUGAUAAUAGCAGCUCCAUUGGUAUUCAGCGGAGGGAGCUCCAGGAUCUCGCUGCGCCUUUCCCCAGGAUGGGAUCACAGAGCAGGGAUUGUGCUUGCCUGUGGAGAGCCCGCUGAAAUGGAUCUGAAGCCUUGCAGAGAUGGCCACCAAAUGGACAGCAUGGAAGCCAACAUCCACCCUCCAGCGACCAGCUUUCCACAGCUAACUGCCUCCACCAUCUCCUGCCAUCAGCUCGAACCAUCCGAGCGAGGGCUGAGUCUGCAGAGUUGAGCCUGGACCAGCCGUCUACCGAAAGCAGAGAUAAGCAGAGGGCGACAGGCCUCGGAGGAGUCAACGCGCAACAAGCCAGUCGGCGUGUUGAGCGCACAAUUGAGCUUCUUGGACUUCAUCUAAAAUGAAAUA
ensembl:lncRNA